CAGAGCCAUAAAGGGACUCCGGAUGCUAAAUCGCAGACUGAAGGAACACUCAGGAGUGGACACCUCCAUCUGCUCUCCUCACCUUGUGUGGUUGUUGCUGCAUUCCCUGUAUCCGCGCUCUGCUAAACCGGCUUAUCUCUACAGCCUUGGCACCUACGUAUUCUACAUUAUCGGAAACUUACCCAAUGCUUCUGGCAAAUCCAGAGCUGGGGGGCGGUGGUGACGCUACGGCCCAGGGCGCUGAGAGAGGGUAUCUUCCUUUCCUGAAUCCUACUUCUCGGCCCCAAAAUGUGUACGAGAACUACAUUGGUCAACUGGUUGAUGAAUUAAUUGGAUAAAACCUAUACCGGGAGUCUUUUUGAGGAUGUUUUCUGGGGGCAAAUAUAGAAUCGAAAUAAUAAAAAGGGGGGAAAUGUU